rnacentral:rRNA from 1 species
CGCCUGUUUAUCAAAAACAUCGCCUCCUGCAAUACAACCAAGUAUAGGAGGUCCAGCCUGCCCAGUGACUAUAAUGUUCAACGGCCGCGGUAUUUUGACCGUGCAAACGGAAGCGCAUUCACUUGUCAUUUAACGCCAGAUUUGUAUGAAUGGCCAAACGAGGGCUUAACUGUCUCCCUUUUCAAGUCAGUGAAAUUGAUCUGCCCGUGCAGAAGCGGACAUAAAAAUACAAGACGAGAAGACCCUUUGGAGCUUAAGGUACAAAACUCAACCACGUCAAGCAACUCGACAAAAAGCAAAAACUUUGUGAAACAUGAGAUUUUACCUUCGGUUGGGGCGACCACGGAGGAAAAAAAAGCCUCCAAGUGGACCGGGACAAACUCCUAAAACCAAGAAAGACAUCUCUAAGCCACAGAAUAUCUGACCAAACAUGAUCCGGCCAACAGAGCCGAUCAACGAACCAAGUUACCCUAGGGAUAACAGCGCAAUCCCCUCCCAGAGUCCAUAUCGACGAGGGGGUUUACGACCUCGAUGUUGGAUCAGGACAUCCUAAUGGUGCAGCCGCUAUUAAGGGUUCGUUUGUUCAACGAUUAAAGUCCUACGUGAUCUGAGUUCAGACCGG